ensembl:misc_RNA Metazoa_SRP Metazoan signal recognition particle RNA
GCUGGGUGUGGUGGUGCACGCCUGUAAUCCCAGCUACUUGGGAGGCUGAGGCAGGAGAAUCGCUUGAACCUAGGAGGCAGAGGUUGCAGUGAGCGGAGAUCGUGCCACUGCACUCCAGCCUGGGCGACAGAGUGAGACUCUGUCUCAA